CGUCUGCUCGUUUACAGGCUUAUACCAUAAAAAAUGAAACUAUUAAAGAUACAAAAAGUCAAAUUAUUAGCAUAUUUGUAAAUAAUAUGUUUUAAGUAAAAAUAAAAAUGGCUAAGUAUGGUAAUUAGAAACGUCAAACCUGACAAUGGCCGAAGAUUAUUUUGUAGACUAAUUUAAACACCAAUUUACUUAAUUUAAUUAGAAUUAAACAUUCAAAUCAUUACCGUAAUUAAUGUGAUAUAUAAAGAAAAUACUAAUUAUUAACUUAAAUAGGAAAAUACAUAGAGAGUUUUAAAUACCUACUUCAUUCCUCUGAUUAAUUACAUAAGUGAUUUACGAUAAUGGUGCUUAUAGUGUGAGAAAUAGAGUUAUAUUUUAAUUGACUAAUGGUCUAAUGCACGAAUCAACCUCUCCUGUACCCUUAGUAUGAGUUUGCUUUACGUUUAACACAUUGAACGCCGUGGUGGUCACCGGUGACCGACGUUAGCGGAGGAUUUGCCUUCAACAGUUUUCUAUUGGCAGUCAAAGACUUAAGGUAAUCGAAACGAAAGCGCGUUCGGUUGUCGGAUUGGCCGGCAGAGCGCGUUCGGUUGUCGGAUUGGCCGGCAGAUCGCGUUCGGUUGUCGGAUUGGCCGGCAGAGCGCGUUCGGUUGUCGGAUUGGCCGGCAGAGCGCGUUCGGUUGUCGGAUUGGCCGGCUCGAAUGGACCAACCAAUCAAAGGGCUUAGUACGAGUUUGUGUUACGUAUAACGAGAUUAAAAUGAGAGCGCGGGCUGCACUCUGAUUGGUUGGGUCAUUCGCGCCGGCAAAUCAACGAACGCCCUCUCAUUACGUUUUCGUUCAACGUAAGAGUCAUCUAAUGGUUACUUAACCCAGACCUUAGCAAUUGCUUUUCAUACAAAAUUGUUACUUAGGAAUAGUUUAAGUUAUCAUUAAAUGACUCUAAGUACGGCAGUAAGGGUUCAGAGCGCCGAACGCGCUCUCGUUUCGAUUACUUUAAACGUAAAGCAAACUCAUACUAAGAUUACUGAACAUAAAUGUCCUUAAGUUUAUCUAUCAUAAAUGACACUUAACGACAUUUCUCUUUUCACCAACCUAUAAGUCACACCUACCCAUGAAGCAAGUACAAAGAGGAGAUGCCAUAAUGUGAUUGUGCACUGUGACACAAACACGGCCCUGUCCAAUGAUAUUAUAAGUAAACAGGUGUAGAUAGGUUAUAAGCGCUAAGAAACUAUCGUUUUCUUUUUCUUCUCCUCUAAUAACAUCUUCUGAUUUAUUUCGUUGCGGGAUCCAAGACAGUUAUUCAUAUCCCUGGGACGCGCCGGACUUCAGUGUUCCGGUGUUUUCAUGGUUGUAUCUACUGUAGAUCCUGGUGCAUAGAAGUUGCAGCGGUAUGGGAGGUUGUGGCGGGCUUGUCCCAUAAAAAAAGCGCUCAGAAAGUGACACAUUAAAAUGUGGACAAUUGGCAACGUUUUUGUAGUAUGGGACCGCUAGAUGAAAAUAGAGAGGGGCGUGGUUUGUAACGUCCCGCGCUCCCCGUAAAGUAUCACGCAUUAUGUUAAAGGGAAAUCCAGUUAUGACAUCUCCUCUUUGUAUUUGCUUCAUGCACCCAACAGUACAAGUAAGGGGUUAGUUAAGUGCUUCCUCAUGCUAAGUAACUCUUAGAUAAGUGGCAGUUUAUGGGUGAUUGUCGAAAACGGCCAUAAUUUUAAUAAAUUCACUCGCUCCGUAUUAGAUUGGACUCGUAAUAUAACUGAGGAAAAUGUGGGUUACAUUGUAUACAUAAUUAUGUGCACCUCUGCCUACCCCUUCUGCGAUUAAAAGACGCGAUUUUAUGUUAUGUAUUUCAUAAUGACGAUUUAGGGAACAGAGAGUAAAGUUCCCUAAGAAAAGGAGGAUCCUCCGACCAGGUGAGGUGAUCAGCCUGGCGGGCUUUCUGCCCAACUGUUGUUCGUUGGGAUUUUCUAUCCGUGUUAAUUCGCAUGUAAACUUCACAUGUGCGAUGCAGGAUAUUUAUGACGUCAUCCGUUGAUUUGCUCGUCGAUAGUCUAUGUGCGACUUCUGUCAUCUGUCACUUGUCAGGUGUCGCCACAACGAUAAUUAUAUAUUUUUAUAUUAAUAUUAUUUUGACACAAUAGGGAUGAUGUCGGGGUAUGAAAAAUUAAAAUGUAUUCAGUCCGUCAGUUAGGUAAUGAAAAAAUAUUAGACACGUAUUUUUUUUAUUUUGUCGUAUAAGAUAACAAUACUUAGAUAAAACGAAUCAAAGUUUAGAAGUGCGAACUUUUGAGGGGCGAAAAUCCACCAAUCGCGCCUACGCGGGGUAUCACACACCCGUAAGAUGAGAAAGGGUGGGAAAAUGCUUUCUACUGCACGGUACAAUGAUAUUAAUACAGUAACUAUGUCUUAUGCGAUAUGAAACGAAAGAUAUUAUAGAAAAACAUUGAUUAAUGUAGUGUAGACAUUGUCCAGUCAAUUGAUUUUAGCGGUGACUGUCCAGGCGACACACGUACUUAGGUAUCGUCAUGAGCUAAUGUUCACAUGUAAACAGCAGCUCAUGUAAAGAGAUUGUCCAGUCAACUGAUGGUAGCGGUGACUGUCCAGGCGACACACGUACUUAGGUAUCGUCAUGAGCUAAUGUCCACAUGUAGUGUAGAGAAUCGACUUUUUAUAACAAUAUAUACGUAUAAUUAUGUUUUAUAGUUUUUAUAUUUGUAAUAUGCACAAAAAAAAACGUUGCCCCACACUAGGAUUUUCUCCUGUAUCGUAGGUGCGUUUACAAACAUACAAGUUCACAUACACAUGCCACCCAGACCCAAAACAACAAUUUGUGGAUCACACAAAGAGUUGCUCCGUGCGGGAGAACGCUCUACGUCAACCAUGCAGAAAAGUGAUUGUUAAGGUAAGCGUUCACAGGCCCGCAUCGUACGCAUUCCGUAUGACGUCAUCAGUACGCAUCGCAUGUAGGCAUUGCCGAUGAUGCGGUCCGUACGAUGCGGAUCAGUGGACGCAGUUGUAUGAGUUUCUAUACAAGACAAACUAAAAUCCGUUGCCUGUGGACGCUUACCUUAUAUGUGCAUAAAGGCGUAUCUUUAUGUUAUUAGUUUAAUUGAAAAAAGGUUACCAGAUAUAAGAGGCUUUGAAUUAUAAUUUAUUUUUGCAAAAAUCUUUAUUUAUUUUAUUUCUUAUUUUGACCAAUAUCGUACAAAUGCUUGCAUAUCAAACUAUUUUAAAUUUAAAAGAAAAUAUCCAUCCUCGGGCCUUGAAUAGUGUGAUUUAUGAUUUUUUCCGAAUUUCUACUGAAUUAUUAGUUUUUAAGGUUUAUUUUUAAUUGAAUUUUAUAUAAUUAAAGAUGUGUAUAUGUAAAGAUAUAUGAGUUGCGAUUGUUUUAUUCACAAAUGCAACUAUGAAGCACAAAUACA